UACGGAGGGUGCAAGCGUUGCUCGGAAUCACUGGGCGUAAAGCGACCGCAGGCGGCCUGACAAGUCGGAUGUGAAAGCCCUGGGCUCAACUCAGGAAUUGCAUUCGAAACUGGUAGGCUCGAGUACGGGAGAGGGGGGUGGAAUUCCUGGUGUAGGGGUGAAAUGCGUAGAUAUCGGGAGGAACACCAGUGGCGAAGGCGACUUUCUGGCCUGUUCUUGACGCUGAGGCGCGAAAGCUAGGGGAGCAAACGGG
rnacentral:rRNA from 1 species